UCUUUUUAUUGUGUGCCAGCAGCCGCGGUAAUACGUAUGGUGCAAGCGUUAUCCGGAUUUACUGGGUGUAAAGGGUGCGUAGGUGGUGAGACAAGUCUGAAGUGAAAAUCCGGGGCUUAACCCCGGAACUGCUUUGGAAACUGCCUGACUAGAGUACAGGAGAGGUAAGUGGAAUUCCUAGUGUAGCGGUGAAAUGCGUAGAUAUUAGGAGGAACACCAGUGGCGAAGGCGACUUACUGGACUGCUACUGACACUGAGGCACGAAAGCGUGGGGAGCAAACAGG
rnacentral:rRNA from 1 species